rnacentral:rRNA from 1 species
CGCUGGCGGCGUGCCUUAAGCAUGCAAGUCAAGGGGGCCCAGCAAUGGGCAACCGGCGGACGGGUGAGUAAUGCGUGGGAAUCUACCUGGAAGUGGGAUAUAGCUUGCCGAAAGGUGAGGUAAUCUCCCAUGUGAUCGCAAGAUUAAAGCAGCAAUGCGCUUCUAGAUGAGCCUGCGUCCUAUCAGCUUGUUGGUGGGGUAAUGGCCUACCAAGGCGACGACGGGUAGCUGGUCUGAGAGGAUGGUCAGCCACAACGGGACUGCGACACGGCCCGUACAUCUACGGAUGGCAGCAACUGGGAAUAUUGGACAAUGGGCGAAAGCCUGAUCCAGCGACGCCGCGUGGAGGAUUGAAGGUCUUCGGAUUGUAAACUCCUUUUAUCAGGGAAGAUUAUGACGGUACCUGAUGAAUAAGUACCUGCUAACUACGUGCCAGAAGCCUCGGUAAUACGUAGGGUACAAGCGUUAUCCGGAUUCACUGGGCGUAAAAGGUUGCGUAGGCGGAUUGAAGCAUCUUGCUUAAAAGCCCAUGGCUUAACCAUGGUUUUGGGCAAGAUAUGGUCAAUCUAGAUGGUAUGAGGGGGUGUUGGAACCGAUGGUGGAGCAG